UCGAUCAAGUUUUAACCAGUGAAAUAAAAGGAAAAUCGUUUUAAGAAACUAAAAGACCGUGAGUGCUUGCCUCUUGUUCCCUAUAUCUGUAUGUAUAUAUAUAUAUAUAUAUAUAUAUAUAUAUAUUUUUUUUAUUAUUUUUUUUUUAUUGGGGUAGCCCCCAAAAUAUUGGGACAUAUAAAAAAAGACAACUCUGUUCCGCAGAGUAGCUGUUAACAUUAUAGUUGCGCAGGAACUUUGUUGAUUCUAGAACCUCGGGCAAAUCACACAUCCCCGUGGUGGCGACUUUGCAUGCGGAUGUCAUCCAUAUCAACAUUCGAUGCCAGUUUCUGUGCCUACCAUGGUGACCACGGGUAACGGGGAACCAGGGUUUCAUUCCGUACCGGGACCCUGAGAAAUGGCUACCACAUGCAAGGAAGGCAGCAGGCGCGAAAGUUACCCACUCCCGACGCGGGAAGGUAGUGAUGACAAAUAACAAUACAGGACUCUUUAGAGGCCCUGUAAUUGUAAUGAGUCCACUUGAAAUCCUUUAACUCUGAUCAAUUGGAGGGAAGUCUGGUGCAGAGCCACUGACCCGUGCGUGCUGCAGCUGAAACUCCACU